rnacentral:rRNA from 1 species
CCUACGGGGUGCAGCAGUAGGGAAUAUUGCUCAAUGGGGGAAACCCUGAAGCAGCAACGCCGCGUGGAGGAUGAAGGUUUUCGGAUUGUAAACUCCUUUUGUUAGAGAAGAUAAUGACGGUAUCUAACGAAUAAGCACCGGCUAACUCCGUGCCAGCAGCCGCGGUAAUACGGAGGGUGCAAGCGUUACUCGGAAUCACUAGGCGUAAAGGGCGCGUAGGCGGGAUAGCAAGUCAGAUGUGAAAUCCUAUGGCUUAACCAUAGAACUGCAUUUGAAACUGUUAUUCUAGAGUAUGGGAGAGGUAGGUGGAAUUCUUGGUGUAGGGGUAAAAUCCGUAGAGAUCAAGAGGAAUACUCAUUGCGAAGGCGACCUGCUAGAACAUAACUGACGCUGAUGCGCGAAAGCGUGGGGAGCAAACAGGAUUAGAUACCCGAGUAGUC